rnacentral:tRNA from 4 species
GCGGGUUUGGUGGAAUUGGCAGACACGCAAGAUUUAGGAUCUUGUGGGCGACCGUGCAGGUUCAAGUCCUGUAACCCGCACCA